rnacentral:sRNA from 1 species
UUUCUGACUCGAUGUCGGAGCCGGAGC